ACCCUUUAAUGUUUGAUGUUCUAACGUGGACCCGUGAUCCGGGUUGCGGACAGUGUCUGGUGGGUAGUUUGACUGGGGCGGUCUCCUCCUAAAGAGUAACGGAGGAGCACGAAGGUUGGCUAAUCCUGGUCGGACAUCAGGAGGUUAGUGCAAUGGCAUAAGCCAGCUUGACUGCGAGCGUGACGGCGCGAGCAGGUGCGAAAGCAGGUCAUAGUGAUCCGGUGGUUCUGAAUGGAAGGGCCAUCGCUCAACGGAUAAAAGGUACUCCGGGGAUAACAGGCUGAUACCGCCCAAGAGUUCAUAUCGACGGCGGUGUUUGGCACCUCGAUGUCGGCUCAUCACAUCCUGGGGCUGAAGUAGGUCCCAAGGGUAUGGCUGUUCGCCAUUUAAAGUGGUACGCGAGCUGGGUUUAGAACGUCGUGAGACAGUUCGGUCCCUAUCUGCCGUGGGCGCUGGAGAACUGAGGGGGGCUGCUCCUAGUACGAGAGGACCGGAGUGGACGCAUCACUGGUGUUCGGGUUGUCAUGCCAAUGGCACUGCCCGGUAGCUAAAUGCGGAAGAGAUAAGUGCUGAAAGCAUCUAAGCACGAAACUUGCCCCGAGAUGAGUUCUCCCUGAGACUUAAAGUCUCCUGAAGGAACGUUGAAGACGACGACGUUGAUAGGCCGGGUGUGUAAG
rnacentral:rRNA from 1 species